rnacentral:rRNA from 1 species
GAUGAACGCUGGCGGCGUGCCUAAUACAUGCAAGUCGAGCGAACAGAUAAGGAGCUUGCUCCUUUGACGUUAGCGGCGGACGGGUGAGUAACACGUGGAUAACCUACCUAUAAGACUGGGAUAACUUCGGGAAACCGGAGCUAAUACCGGAUAACAUAUUGAACCGCAUGGUUCAAUAGUGAAAGGCGGCUUUGCUGUCACUUAUAGAUGGAUCCGCGCCGUAUUAGCUAGUUGGUAAGGUAACGGCUUACCAAGGCAAUGAUACGUAGCCGACCUGAGAGGGUGAUCGGCCACACUGGAACUGAGACACGGUCCAGACUCCUACGGGAGGCAGCAGUAGGGAAUCUUCCGCAAUGGGCGAAAGCCUGACGGAGCAACGCCGCGUGAGUGAUGAAGGUCUUCGGAUCGUAAAACUCUGUUAUCAGGGAAGAACAAAUGUGUAAGUAACUGUGCACAUCUUGACGGUACCUGAUCAGAAAGCCACGGCUAACUACGUG